GACUCUCAGCAAUGGAUAUCUCGGCUCUCGCAUCGAUAAACAACGUUGUGAAAUGCGAUACUUGGUGUAAUUGCAGAAUCCCGUGAACCAUCAAGCCUUCUGGCUGAGGGCACGUUUGCCUGGGUGUCA
rnacentral:rRNA from 1 species